GCGGCAGGCCUAACACAUGCAAGUCGAGCGGAUGAGGGGAGCUUGCUCCCUGAUUUAGCGGCGGACGGGUGAGUAAUGCGUAGGAAGCUGCCCGAUAGAGGGGGAUACCAGUUGGAAACGACUGUUAAUACCGCAUAAUGUCUACGGACCAAAGUGUGGGACCUUCGGGCCACAUGCUAUCGGAUGCGCCUACGUGGGAUUAGCUAGUUGGUGAGGUAAUGGCUCACCAAGGCGACGAUCUCUAGCUGGUUUGAGAGGAUGAUCAGCCACACUGGAACUGAGACACGGUCCAGACUCCUACGGGAGGCAGCAGUGGGGAAUAUUGGACAAUGGGCGCAAGCCUGAUCCAGCCAUGCCGCGUGUGUGAAGAAGGCCUUCGGGUUGUAAAGCACUUUCAGCGAGGAGGGAGGGUGGUGUGUUAAUAGCACAUCAUUUUGACGUUACUCGCAGAAGAAGCACCGGCUAACUCUGUGCCAGCCGCCGCGGUAAAAC
rnacentral:rRNA from 1 species